rnacentral:rRNA from 1 species
UACGUAGGGUGCAAGCGUUAAUCGGAAUUACUGGGCGUAAAGCGUGCGCAGGCGGCUUUGCAAGACAGAUGUGAAAUCCCCGGGCUUAACCUGGGAACUGCAUUUGUGACUGCAUGGCUGGAGUGCGGCAGAGGGGGAUGGAAUUCCGCGUGUAGCAGUGAAAUGCGUAGAUAUGCGGAGGAACACCAGUGGCGAAAGCGGCCACCUGGACUGCACCUGACGCUGACACGCGAAAGCUAGGGGAGCGAACGGG